UACGAAGGGGGCUAGCGUUGUUCGGAAUUACUGGGCGUAAAGCGCGCGCAGGCGGCUAUCCAAGUCAGUGGUGAAAUCCUGGAGCUCAACUCCAGAACUGCCUUCGAUACUGAGAGUCUCGAGUCCGGGAGAGGUGAGUGGAACUGCGAGUGUAGAGGUGAAAUUCGUAGAUAUUCGCAAGAACACCAGUGGCGAAGGCGGCUCACUGGCCCGGUACUGACGCUGAGGUGCGAAAGCGUGGGGAGCAAACAGG
rnacentral:rRNA from 1 species